AUUGAACGCUGGCGGCAGGCCUAACACAUGCAAGUCGAACGCGUGGCGGACGGGUGAGUAAUGUCUGGGAAACUGCCUGAUGGCGGGGGAUAACUACUGGAAACGGUAGCUAAUACCGCAUACCCUCGGAUGUGCCCAAAUGGGAUUAGCUAGUAGGUGGGGAAAAGGCUAACCUCGGCGACGAUCCCUAGCUGGUCUGAGAGGAUGACCAGCCACACUGGACCUGAGACACGGUCCAGACUCCUACGGGAGGCAGCAGUGGGGAAUAUUGCACAAUGGGCGCAAGCCUGAUGCAGCCAUGCCGCGUGUAUGAAGAAGGCCUUCGGGUUGUAAAGUACUUUCAGCGGGGAGGCGUUACCCGCAGAAGAAGCACCGGCUAACUCCGUGCCAGCAGCCGCGGUAAUAC
rnacentral:rRNA from 1 species